UAGUCCAUUUUCUCCUUUGAAAUAAAUUGGGGACAUACUCCUUCAACCAUCGUUUCCAAACGUAAUUGGUCACAACUUGAGCUUGUCGCCAUCGACGUCGACUAGAUAUUAGCGACCUUAAGCAAACAGGACGGCAACGCGACGACGACGGCUAUUCACACAAUGAUAUUCCUGAUCUCGUACAAAAGAAAUGAAUAAUUAAAAGCCCCACGGGAGUUAGAGACGUUGUGUUAGGGCUUUUUACAACGGCAAACCAGAGAUUUUCACGUCUCGUGUACAACGCAAACAUAUCAAGACGCGACAAGUGAAACUACAAAUUUGUUCGCAAAAGCGUGUUUAACCAUAAAACCUUUGUUAAAAG